UACGUAGGGGGCAAGCGUUAUCCGGAAUCAUUGGGCGUAAAGCGCGUGUAGGCGGUUCCGUAAGUCCGCUCUGAAAGCCCAGGGCUCAACCCUGGGAGGCGGGUGGAUACUACGGAACUGGAGUACGGAAGAGGAGAUUGGAAUUCCUGGUGUAGCGGUGAAAUGCGCAGAUAUCAGGAGGAACACCAACAGCGAAGGCAGAUCUCUGGGACGUUACUGACGCUGAGACGCGAAAGCGUGGGGGAGCAAACAGA
rnacentral:rRNA from 1 species